UGGUCUGAAUUCACGUUUCCCAUGGUGUU
rnacentral:piRNA from 1 species